ACCAGGGAAGGGGCCCCGGCGGUGCUCGCAGCCGCCCUGGGUGCCGGCGACACCCGCGGCCUCGCCGCCCGGCCCCCGUUAUGCAGGCGGCGGUGGCGGCCCCGCGGCCGGGGGGGGCUCGCAGCGAGGUGCCAAGCGCGCCCCGGCGGGGCUCGCUGCCCGCCCCCGGCCUCGGAUCCGCUGGCUCCUGGCGCUGCCCAAGCCCCAGGCUCGCUUGGUGCCGUGGAGGUGAGGCCGGCUUCCUCAGGCCACGGGGGCUGCUGGCAGAGAGAGGUGAAAUCGCUUCGUGCCCCCGCCAGGCCCUGCGUGCGGUCGCCGAUGUUUCGGUGGGCUUGCCAGGUGGUUGGGAAUGACAGAGGGCUGCAAAAACCCUUCGCAAUUCUUCGAAACGCUUGAUACUUGUCAUCUUUUCUUGAUAACAAGGUUGUCUUAUCAAAAUAUUCCAGGGUGUAGGAUGGAAACUCGUAUAUACAUAACUACCUACGUCGUCUGUGGGUGAGCUGGAAUGGAUGCACUGGACGGCUAAGCGCAAAUUCUGCGGGAGCGCGAGAGCUGGCAGAAAGGUCAAGAUGGAUCCAGCUUCAGGUGGGAACAAAGGUGGCCCCUGGGCUGAGGCUUCACAAAGGAAGGUCUGAUCUGGAGCUUGGUUUAAAGGCACAGGUGAAGAUCUUUGGAAAAGAACUUUCAUCAUGGAAACGAUGCCGUUGAUUAGAAAUACUGCCUACUGACAAAAUGUGUGAAAUCCUGUCUUGUCAGAGUCCUUGUCAGAGCUGAGCAGCAAAAGUGAUCUGAGCUCUGCUUACGAUGGUGGGAAACUAGUCUUGAGGAUCCCUGGUCAGUCUCCUGUUGGAAGAUGAAAAUAUUCCCUGUUCUUACCUGUAUCUUCUGGCUUUUAAAGUUCGGGUACAAAAAAAUGAUGUUGCAUCCGUACUCUUCUGCUGAGGCUCCAGCUGAGGACACAGUCGGUGCUACAGCCCGCGCACCUCAAGCAACCCUCUCUAGGACAGAGGCAGAAAAAGAAGAGGAAACCCUGAAGAACCUCGUGGACGUUCUGCAUCACGUCAUGCGAAACGAUCCCUCGCAGGGCGCACUGGCUCCGCGUUCAGCAGCGACACCCACUCGUAAUGAUACCGUCGAUGCUCUCUGGUUAAAAGUAUACAAGAAGCAUGCUGAGAAGCCAAAAAAAACGGGAAGGGUUGCAAUGACAAGAAAACCUACUCCAUCGACUAUGCCAUCAGUUUUGACACUCCAAGCUGACCCAGAUUUUUCUGCUGCUUUGUGUGUUUUUGAAUCUGCUCAGCUGACAGCAGCACUGGAAGAGCUGGCCUUCAUAUUGCAAGCUGUUGUUCCAAAGGGGGAAGAUAAGAUUCUCGAUCAGUUAAUAAGUGGAUUUAGUGAAAUCUUUAAAGAAUGUUUUAAAAAAAGUGAUGCUAAAAAUCACAACUAAGUUUGAAACCAAAACCCACUAGCAAAAUGUUGAAAAAAGUUGCAUUACUGUAAAAAGAUGGAACAUGGAGUUCUAGCCAAAGUCAUCUCGGGAACGAUUAAAACGUUAUAGAUAGUGGUAGGGAAUGCAUCUGACAGUGUUAAACCCCACAUCUCAAUGGGCAUGUUGAAUUGGCUGGGAUCCAGAGAGCAAAAGCUCAGGCACUAGAAGCAGAGAAUUUGCAAAAAAAAAAUCAUAUAAUUUUUCUAAAACUUCCUCUGCACCUCCCUCUCCAUCUCUCUGUCCACUAGGUCUAGGGGAGAGCUCAGCAGAAACCAGGAAAGUAAGACCUUUGAUUAACGUGCUUUAAGAUUUUAGCCCUCAGUUAAAACAUAUAUCAAUAAAUUUAAUAAAUAAAUAUAUUGGUAAUUAUAA
rnacentral:lncRNA from 1 species